rnacentral:rRNA from 1 species
GACGAACGCUGGCGGCGUGCUUAACACAUGCAAGUCGAACGGAAAGGCCCUGCUUGUGUGGGGUGCUCGAGUGGCGAACGGGUGAGUAACACGUGAGUAACCUGCCCUUGACUUUGGGAUAACUUCAGGAAACUGGGGCUAAUACCGGAUAGGAGCUCCUGCUGCAUGGUGGGGGUUGGAAAGUUUCGGCGGUUGGGGAUGGACUCGCGGCUUAUCAGCUUGUUGGUGGGGUAGUGGCUUACCAAGGCUUUGACGGGUAGCCGGCCUGAGAGGGUGACCGGCCACAUUGGGACUGCGAUACGGACCAGACUGCUACGUGGGGCAGCAGUGGGGAAUAUUGCACAAUGGGCGGACGCCUGAUGCAGCAACGCCGCGUGCGGGAUGACGGCCUUCGGGUUGUAAACCGCUUUCGCCUGUUACGAAGCGUGAGUGACGGUAAUGGGUAAAGAAGCACCGGCUAACUACGUG